UGGGGAAUAUUGGACAAUGGGCGAAAGCCUGACGCAGCAACGCCGCGUGGGGGAUGAAGGCCCUUGGGUCGUAAACUCCUUUCAGUGGGGAUCAAAUUGAGAGUACCCACAGAAGAAGCCCCGGCCAACUACGUGCCAGCAGCCGCGGUAAUACGUAGGGGGCGAGCGUUGUCCGGAAUUAUUGGGCGUAAAGAGCUCGUAGGCGGUUACGGAAGUCGGGUGUGAAAGACCGGGGCUCAACCCCGGGACGUCAUUCGAUACUCCGUUGACUCGAGUCCGGUAGGGGAAGGUGGAAUUCCUGGUGUAGCGGUGAAAUGCACAGAUAUCAGGAGGAACACCGGUGGCGAAGGCGGCCUUCUGGGCCGGCACUGACGCUGAGGAGCGAAAGCUAGGGGAGCGAACAG
rnacentral:rRNA from 1 species